rnacentral:tRNA from 1 species
AAUUAAUUGGCAGAAAAAUGCAUUAGAAUUAGAAUCUAAUUAAACUAAA